AUGAUGUCUGGCCUCAAGGUUAAUUUCCAUAAAAGCGAGAUUCUAACCGUUUGGGGGGAUGCCCAGAUUACUAGGGCUUAUGUUGAUCUAUUCAAUUGUGACAUAGGUCAAUUCCCUCUUAAAUACAUGGGUAUGCCGGUGAGCUUCACGACUCUUAGAAAUUCUGACUGGGAAUUCAUAGUUGACAAAUAUCUACUAAGAUUUGAUGCUUGGGUUGGUAAUGCUGCCUCUAUGGGAGGGAGACAUACCCUGUUAGACUCGGUGGUCACACAACUAUCUCUGUACCAUAUGUCUAUGUGGUUGAUGAACAAAACCUUUGUGGAGAAGUUGGAUAAACAUAGAAGGAGAUUCUUCUGGCAGGGAUGCAAUAAGAAAUGGAGAUACCACUUGGUCAAAUGGAACAGAAUAUGUAGAUCAAAAGAUAAGGGGGGGGGGGGCUCAGAGUGA
rnacentral:rRNA from 1 species